GGCGAGCGUUGCUCGGAAUUAUUGGGCGUAAAGGGUGCGUAGGCGGUUUGGUAAGUCUUGUGUGAAAUCUACAGGCUCAACUUGUAGUCUGCACGAGAAACUGCCGGGCUUGAGUGUGGGAGAGGUGAGUGGAAUUCCUGGUGUAGCGGUGAAAUGCGUAGAUAUCAGGAGGAACACCUGUGGCGAAAGCGGCUCACUGGACCAUAACUGACGCUGAUGCACGAAAGCUAGGGGAGCAAACAGG
rnacentral:rRNA from 1 species